GUGCCAGCAGCCGCGGUAAGACGAACCGAGCGAACGUUGUUCGGAAUCACUGGGCUUAAAGGGCGCGUAGGCGGGCUGCCGCGUCCGGGGUGAAAGCCUCCCGCUCAACGGGAGAACGGCCUCGGAUACGGGCGGCCUCGAGGGGGGUAGGGGCGUGCGGAACUGUGGGUGGAGCGGUGAAAUGCGUUGAUAUCCACAGGAACUCCGGUGGCGAAGGCGGCACGCUGGACCCUCACUGACGCUGAGGCGCGAAAGCCAGGGGAGCGAACGGGAUUAGAUACCCCGGUAGUCCUGGCCCUAAACGUUGGGGACUAGGUAGUGGGCCGGCAUGGGCUCACUGCCGGAGCGAAAGUGCUAAGUCCCCCGCCUGGGGAGUAUGGUCGCAAGGCUGAA
rnacentral:rRNA from 1 species